CUGCGGAGGGAUCAUUAC
rnacentral:rRNA from 1 species